UUUCCAUUUCAUCUAACUUAGCCUUUUCUAUAUUUUUUAGCAUCCAAUUUGAGUUCAAGGAUCUCAUAACUUCCUAGUAAGUUGUUUUGUUUCAUUGAAGUUCUUUGCAGUUUCAUCAUGUGGUUUGAUUUUCUUUUCCAUAUUUUCUUUUUUGCUUCUUGCAUUUGGUGGAUUUCCAUGAUGGUUAUUGGCUCUCUCACGGUGGUUGGUAAGCAUUUCACUGCCAUGGGUGUUUGUUCAGGGAUGAAGGUUUUUGCCUCUGUCGUAGAUGGUUUUAUGGAAUCCAGUAGCUUAUUUAAGGAAACUAUAGGCUAAAUGGUCUAUCUUUGUCUCCAAUAUAGUGGUGAACAGUGACAAUCCCAUCGACUCCCUAUGUCAGUCGUGUGUUAGCACAAUGGCUUUCCUUUUGUCCCCAUCACUUCUAAAAUAAUGGUUGAAUGAAGAAUUUGGUCGUUGAAUUCAUUUUCUUCUUCUUCUAUCAUUUAGGCCAACAGUGAAAGUAGUGCAUCAUUGUACGACUUAGUUAUCCCGACAGAUGAGGAAAUUUUUGAGUAGGUAGCACGAGAACUGAUGGGACGGGUGGGUUUUGGUGAGAACAGGAGAAUAUGUUCCAACUUAUAAAGUCAUUUUUAAAGACAUGGGUUUCAGACUGCCUUUCACUAACUUUUAGAAUGACAUGCUUCAACAUCUCAAUUUGUGCCCUUCUCAGAUUCACCGACAUUGCUUGCGUAUAUGAAGGAAAUCUAGUGAACAUGUGGCCAUGUGAAUGUGAUGUCGAUGUUUUUUUUCUCUAUCUUCUACCUUCUUUGAAAUGAGGAUACAACCGGCCAAAACUAAAUCUCCUACAAGCAUUCCAAAAGGCUUUUCGCAUCAUACAUGGAUUCCCUAUAUGACUUCAAGGAUAUGUUUUGCAUAGUGGGCCUAUAAAAAGAAAGGGCAAAGGAUAACGUAGCAGUUUGCAAAGCGAUCCACGGAAAUGAUGGCUUGCCCGUCGAAGAUGAUGGUUCGAAGGUCAUCGAAAACAUCAUUCCCUUGCUCCCUGUUUCGGGUCGAAUGGGCUAUUUUGAUGGAACGGGAAAAGGGAUGGUAAGCAUGCUAAAGAACAUUAGCGCCCCAAAAGCUUCGAAUUUGAAGGCCUUGUUGCGUUUCAUAAAGUCCUUGAGGACAUAGGUUGUCAACCAUGAAGACAUGUCUCAGUUGAGCAGAGCUACAUAGAAACCCGCGAGUUGGUUUCUUGUCGGAAUCAAGAGGAAGCCAAAAAUUUGAUUAGAAAAAUUGUUGCUAUGCAAAGAUCGAUUGCUUUGGAGGAGAGGAGAAGGAAGAAAAUAAGGAGACGUUUUCUUCAGUUGUCACAACGGUGACAAUGGUUCAUGUGGUCGAAUUGUCGUUAAUGAUAUGGUAAUUGUUAGUUCAACCACAACUAUUGUUGUCAGCAACGACAACAUCCAAGAAAUCCUUGUUGAGGACCCCAACUAGAAGCAUGAGAGCAAUGAAUUAGAGGAAUGAUGAGUUUCACCAUCGAAACCAUCAUUAUUACCCACAGCUUGACCACUACAAGUGAAUCUGAGGUGGCCAACAUCUUUAUAGGAGUUGUAUCGUAUUAAAUAUUUGUUCUCUAAUUAUAUUGUCUUUUAGUUUUGAAGUGUCCCAAGUUCGAAGAAUGAGAUCGCCCAAUAAGGUUUCAAAGAUGUAGCUUCCCUGUCUAGUUUUCAUGACGAUUCGAAUUGGCCUUUGAAGUUAGCCCACAACUUCCCUUGUUUGUUAGCUUUAACGUUCUCCCAUAGUAUGAGGUUUUUUUCGUCAAUGUCGCGUCAAAUGAAUUUUUGUAGCACUUGAUGGCUACCAUUGAUUAGUGGCAGGUUUAUUUAGGACAAAUGUGUUCCUAUUUACAUCGAUGAAAUCAAUCUUAUCUCGUUAUUCGAGGUCAAGUA